rnacentral:rRNA from 1 species
UACGUAGGGGGCAAGCGUUGUCCGGAAUCAUUGGGCGUAAAGAGCGCGUAGGCGGUCCAGUAAGUCCGCUCUGAAAGUCCGGGGCUCAACCCCGGGAGGCGGGCGGAUACUGCUGGGCUAGAGUCCGGAAGAGGCGAGUGGAAUUCCUGGUGUAGCGGUGAAAUGCGCAGAUAUCAGGAGGAACACCAAUGGCGAAGGCAGCUCGCUGGGACGGUACUGACGCUGAGGCGCGAAAGCUAGGGGAGCGAACGGG